AGCCAGAGGGAACUGGCCCUGUAACUGCUCAGACUGUUUCUGUCUUGGGGAAACUCCCUACUGAUUCCCAACUGCUGCUGUUGGUUUCACUUUUUGGCUUGAGUGAAAAGGAAGGAGCAUUUGGGGCAAGCUGAUGAGCUUCUGGAGCAGACACACAGAGAGAGAGAGACAGAGACACAGAGGGAGAAGCAGGCUCCAUGCAGGGAGCCCGAUGUGGGACUCGACCCCGGGUCUCCAGGAUCACACCCCAGACUGCAGGCGGGGCCAAACCGCUGUGCCACUGGGGCUGCCCUCAGACAUCGGUUUAAUGGAAUAAUGGAGCAAUCUAUCAACUCAGGUUCUGGAUUGUGAAACUUCUGGGGAAGUUUCAAGGUGAAAUUGAAAGGAAGCACAAUUUGCCACCCCAAAAUAUGCUUCUUUGGCACAUCUUCAGCUGAAGGUAUUUGGGGAUUAUUUAAGAGCAAAAGAUGAAUGGUGAGCCACUAAAUCCUAUUAAAUCAAUGCAUGGACACAGCAGCAACGGAGGUAAAUAAGCUGUGGAUGUCUGAAUACCAAUAAAGAAGAUAAAAAUGGUUUUAUAUAGCUACUUACAUCAUAGCCUAGAAGUUCAGUCUGUGUGGAUUUAUCUACUCUUGAAGCAAAAGCCUUCUGUAAAUGCUGGACUUUUUCCUACAAAAUUAAAAAAAAAAGAAACGACAUUGAAAGAGAUGGUGGUCAUCACAAACGUAUCCACAAAUGUACUCUGAGUUGAAAAUGAAGUGCUCCCAGGAAAAUAAUAGAGUGAGGAAGCUGUACAGGAAGUCCAUCCAGAAGUCCAACUUCAAGAUCUCAGUCAGUGACUGGCUUCAUCCUAAAGGAAAACCCUUGGGAAGGAAGUCUCAUCUCAAAAUUGUUCCUAUCCAAAGGCAAGAGAGUUAAUGAUAUGGAGCUGGGAUAUCCUGCCACGCAGAUCAGUCAAUAAUUAAGGCAGGUUAGUUUUACAAGCAAAGUGGCCUUAGGUUCCCAAAGCUAAGGAUGGCUCACUGACACGAUGACCAGGUGGUGACUGUAGAGGGUAAACCUUCAUCUGGGUCUCCUGUGCAUGCGUGCAUGCAUGCACUUACAUGCAUUCAAAUGAUAAAGGAAUCUAAGGGGAUAUUGGCAGAGUAGUGGCAGCACUUCUUAUAGUUUAUCUUGAAACGACUUUAGAAACUCAUUGUUGAAGCAAGGUUGGGUGUCUGAAGCUCAGAGAGGUAAAAUACAUUUCCCAGAAUCACAAACCCAGUAAGUGGCAAACAAAAGAACAGAAUCCAGAUCUUCACUCCUUUAUGUCAGGUCAUUUUCAAUGACCAUGCUCUAUACUAAUAAUUUAAUCUAAUUUUUUAGAAGUUCUACUUUUGUGGAUUACUUAGCAGUAUUUCUCUAGAGAGUACUUAAAGUCAAUUUUGACUUUUUUUAUUCUAAAGAGAUCAGAAAUUUGAUACUGAGCCAAAACGAAAAUAUUCUAAUCUUUCUUCAUGUUGCAAUAUAUACUCUUGACCAUUAUUAAUGAAUUUGUUUACAUAUCCUUUUGAGCUAAUGUAUUUUCAUAUUCUAUUUAUGCUAUCUCAACUUUGAGUUACUCAUUGUAAAUAAGGAAGAGCUAAUUUUGAGGAUUUUUAAAGAAAAUUUAAAUUAUAUUUGCACAAAUAUAUAUACUUGUAUAGCCCAUUGAAAUUUAUGACACUAUGUAAUAUAAAUGAUAUUUAUAAUAUUAAAUAUUUCUAAUAUUUUAUGUGUAAAAUUGCUAUUCAAAUGAAAAUAAAAAUAAUUUCAAAUGGUGACCCUGAAAAGGGGGACUAUAGAAUUUCUCAAUAUGGAGUUAUAAAUAUUUACUACUGCUAUAGUAAUAUCAAAAGACUGCUUGAAUAAAAAAUUUAGAACA